UCUUUGCUAGUAUAUCGGUUAGUACACGCGCCUGUCAUGACACAUGGUGCGCGCGAAAGCUGGGUUCGACUCCCAGGCAGAGAG
rnacentral:tRNA from 1 species